CAUGCAAGUCGAACGAAAUCAAAAAAUAAGUAAUUAUUUUUUUGUUUUAGUGGCGGACGGGUGAGUAACGCGUAAGAAUCUACCUUUAGGAGGGGGAAAACAACUGGAAACGGUUGCUAACACCCCAUAUGCUGAGGAGUAAAAUACAUUGUGCCUAGAGAUGAGCUUGCGUCUGAUUAGUUAGUUGGUAAGGUAAUUGCUUCCCAAGACUAUGAUCAGUAGCUGGUCUGAGAGGAUGAUCAGCCACACUGGGACUGAGACACGGCCCAGACUCCUACGGGAGGCAGCAGUGAGGAAUUUUCCGCAAUGGGCGAAAGCCUGACGGAGCAAUGCCGCGUGGAGGAUGAAAGCCUAUGGGUUGUAAACUCCUUUUCUCAGAGAAGAAAUUUUGACGGUAUCUGAGGAAUAAGCAUCGGCUAACUCCGUGCCAGCAGCCGCGGUAAUACGGGGGAUGCAAGUGUUAUCCGGAAUAAUUGGGCGUAAAGCGUCUGUAGGUGGUUUACCAAGUCUGUUGUUAAAAAUCAGGGCUCAACCCUGAUCCGGCAACAGAAACUAGUAGACUUGAGUACGGUAGGGGCAGAGGGAAUUCUCGGUGUAGUGGUGAAAUACGUAGAUAUCGAGAAGAACACCAAUAGCGAAAGCACUCUGCUGGGCCGAAACUGACAUUGAGAGACGAAAGCUAGGGGAGCAAAAGGGAUUAGAUACCCCUGUAGUCCUAGCCGUAAACGAUGGAUACUAAGUGCUGUGCGACUCAAACGUCCAGUGCUGUAGCUAACGCGUGAAGUAUCCCGCCUGGGGAGUAUGCUCGCAAGAGUGAAACUCAAAGGAAUUGAC
rnacentral:rRNA from 1 species